rnacentral:tRNA from 1 species
GCCGGGGUAGCUCAGUGGUAGAGCAGAGGUCUGAAGAACCUCGUGUCGUGAGUCCGAUUCUCACCCCCGGCACCA